CGAAGGGUGCUAGCGUUGUUCGGAAUCACUGGGCGUAAAGCGCGCGUAGGCGGCUUUGCAAGUCAGGGGUGAAAUGCCAAGGCUUAACCUUGGAACUGCCUUUGAAACUGCUAAGCUGGAGUGUCGGAGGGGAUAGCGGAAUUCCUAAUGUAGUGGUGAAAUACGUAGAUAUUAGGAGGAACACCGGUGGCGAAGGCGGCUAUCUGGACGACAACUGACGCUGAGGCGCGAAAGCGCGGGGAUCAAACAGGAUUAGAUACCCUGGUAGUCCGCGCUGUAAACGAUGGAUGCUAGCCGUCGGGGGGUUACCCUUCGGUGGCGCAGCUAACGCGUUAAGCAUCCCGCCUGGGGAGUACGGUCGCAAGAUUA
rnacentral:rRNA from 1 species